UUUUAAAGAGAGUUUGAUCCUGGCUCAGGACGAACGCUGGCGGCGUGCCUAAUACAUGCAAGUCGAACGAACGGA
rnacentral:rRNA from 1 species